AGGGAUAUAUAUCAGGAGCCGCUCUCGGACAUGACGCUAAUUUGCAUAGAUAACGCUCCAAUGGUGUCAUCAUCCACCUGAUGAAGAUAGUCACUCAAGGUUGACACGUUCCGUGAUUGCUUUACUCCUCUCUCCGUCUCAUGAAUACACACCAUCACUCGUUUGUCUCUCCUUCUCUUUUCUCCAGAUAAAGCAUCGGGUGCUUGUGCUACUAGCAUCGUCCAUCUUCGCUGAGGGGGAAGAAACCCGUGAAAAACGUCGUCUGCGAAGAGAAACCAGUUUGCAGCAACUCCUUGGGGGAGACUCUUGCAGGGGAAAAAGACAGUUCAGUACGAGAAAUUAAAAACUAUAUAUCAAGAUGAAAAGCUUAGUUGCUGGUGUUCUUAUUGUGAUCGUGGCCUUGGCAUCGGUGCUCUCAUGUUGUCAUGCCGAAAGGAUGGGUGAUGGAAGGGACGAAUAUUACGAUCUUAUCGACUGGUUAAGUGCUGUAAAACGAGGAUCAAAGGGUGGACUCGGACGAUCUUUCUGUAAAGUGGACCAAGACAACGCACACAACUGUCGCCGUGGUUACAACUGUAACGCCCUCCAGGGUGGAGCAUGCAGUAGGGACACCAGGUGGUGCGUCUGUCGCAUCCAUGAUGAUAUCAGCUGGCUCUUGUAGAGACUCAUCUUAGACCUUAAUCCCCCACCCGCUCUCUUAUUUUACCUACAAGGUACAUCAACUACAGGAGGACUCUAAAGGACAUUGUCUUUUGACUAGAUUUAAGAUUUUUAUUUAUGUUUUUAAUACUGAGCUGUUUAGUCUUGACCUCUUCGGGGCUUGUUUGUCAGUGACCAGAAUCUAUUUACGUUCCGGUACUGAGCUGUUAUUUUUGGACUUCUCCUGCACACUUGCUAGAUGGUACGUGAUCCUGAAAACUCCGAAAGGAACUUCUGUCAAGCGUAUGAGUCUGCUUUUCAUGGCAUCGACAUCUUUAUGAUUGUGAGGCGGCGUGGAAUCGACAAAUGCAUCUCUAAGAAACGACAACUACGAAGAAACUGAAACAUUCCUAUAACCUGAAUACCCAGGACUAUUCCGGUAAACCUCCAAUCAAAGGUCAUUCUCGGAUAUCAGCUGUGUUAAUACUGGUCGUCAAUUUUGUAAUUACGGUAUCAUCUAAUAGAACUGCAAUAGCUUCAGUCUUUAAGAGUAGGUAAAAAUGAGUCUCACGUGUAUAUCUGAACAAGAUUUCGUUCUAUAUUUUGAGUAAUUGUAGAAAGGCUACUUCCAGGAGUUAGUACUCAUAAACAAAGACAUUUGGAAGUAAUGAAUCAAAAGAGAGGAAGAUAACAAGAUGAAAUGUAGAAUUUAAUUGCAAAAUUAAGAACUGGGAUUUAAAUAAAUACACCAAACUCAUAUAGAGAUAAUUUCAAGCGCAUUGUUACUCUAUGUCCCUUCUAUUAUUAGUAAUGCAAACAAAAAUGCUGAAAUGGUAACAGUCAUACUUUAAUCUAUAAAGGAGACAAAAAUAUAGAUAACUGCAACGUAGUUUUACGAUCUUAGUCGAGAAUGCCAACCAAGAAAAGUCUACGUGGAAGAUUUGUGAAGUCCGCAGUAGUUUAUAUAUGAAUUGAAUUACCACUAUUGUCAAGAGAAAAUUUCUACAUGCACUCAAAGUGAUUCUCAGUGUUUUGAAAGGAAAUAUUUUUCAAUAGAAAUUGUAUCCAUUCGUGGUAAAAAAAAAUCUACGUCAUUAUAAUCCAAUAUUUCUGAUAACGACAUUUAUGAAUGCAACUUUCACUUUUUAGGAGACUGUCAUUUUCAGCAUAAAACUGGCCACUCUACUCUUGCCAAAGGAGUAAUUUCUUAUUUCACAACAAAGUUUCCGUGUGCAUACAAUGGUAGAAAGAUGACGCAAGGUGAAAUAAAUAUUGCGACAAAACAGUAAUAGUAAUUGAAAGUCAGAAAUUGUGAAGUGGACAAAACCCUAUUCUACACAAGAAAAUCCAGAAUAGAAUUUCGUGAAUCAUUUGUUUUUUUAGUUGACUCUUUGCUUUUAAACCUUGAUGAAAACUGCAUAUCGUUUUCGAACAAGCGUCUAGUCAUUACAAUAAGCAUGAUAACAAAUGUUUUGCAGAUGUUUAUGGUGGUCGAAAAACAAAUAUAAUUCCUUUUGUGAGUAAAGUAAUUUCAAUGUUUCAAGUUUAACUAGCUUCGUUGUUUACUUUUAUCAACCCGUGGACUUUCAUAGCUCCUUGUUCUUGGCUUUGACUAUUUACUUUACUUCUAAAUAACACUCCACUCAAAAUAAUUCCAAUCAAAUAAAAAUGUUAUUAUAUGUCAUUAUUGGCCCAUGAUCAGUUUUGGUAUAGUUACUCUUGUACGUAAAA